GCGGUGAAGUCAGACCGGAAGGACUGGUGGAGCGCUUAGAAGUGAGAAUGCCGGUAUGAGUAGCGAAAGAAGGGUGAGAAUCCCUUCCACCGAAUAUCUAAGGUUUCCUGAGGAAGGCUCGUCCGCUUAGGGUUAGUCGGGACCUAAGCCGAGGCCGAUAGGCGUAGGCGAUGGACAACAGGUAGAGAUUCCUGUACCAGUGCUAAUUGUUUAACCGAUGGGG
rnacentral:rRNA from 1 species